UACGGAGGGUGCGAGCGUUGUCCGGAAUCACUGGGCGUAAAGGGCGCGUAGGCGGCCUGAUAAGUCGGGGGUGAAAUCCUGUGGCUCAACCACAGGGCUGCCUCCGAGACUGUCGGGCUCGAGCACAGUAGAGGCAGGUGGAAUUCCUAGUGUAGAGGUGAAAUUCGUAGAUAUUAGGAAGAACACCAGUGGCGAAGGCGGCUCACUGGAUCGGUACUGACGCUGAGGUGCGAAAGCGUGGGGAGCAAACAGG
rnacentral:rRNA from 1 species